GAUGAACGCUGGCGGCGUGCCUAAUACAUGCAAGUCGAGCGAACGGACGAGAAGCUUGCUUUUCUGAUGUUAGCGGCGGACGGGUGAGUAACACGUGGAUAACCUACCUAUAAGACUGGGAUAACUUCGGGAAACCGGAGCUAAUACCGGAUAAUAUUUUGAACCGCAUGGUUCAAAAGUGAAAGACGGUCUUGCUGUCACUUAUAGAUGGAUCCGCGCUGCAUUAGCUAGUUGGUAAGGUAACGGCUUACCAAGGCAACGAUGCAUAGCCGACCUGAGAGGGUGAUCGGCCACACUGGAACUGAGACACGGUCAAGACUCCUAAGGGAGGCAGCAGUAGGGAAUCUUCCGCAAUGGGCGAAAGCCUGACGGAGCAACGCCGCGUGAGUGAUGAAGGUCUUCGGAUCGUAAAACUCUGUUAUUAGGGAAGAACAUAUGUGUAAGUAACUGUGCACAUCUUGACGGUACCUAAUCAGAAAGCCACGGCUAACUACGUG
rnacentral:rRNA from 1 species